GGGCCAUUAGCUCAAUAGGUAGAGCAGUUGACUCUUAAUCAAUUGGUUCGGUGUUCGAUUCACCGAUGGCCCACCA
rnacentral:tRNA from 1 species